rnacentral:rRNA from 1 species
UCCCCCCCGGGCUAUGCCUCAGUAGCGGCGAGUGAAGCGGCAAAAGCUCAAAUUUGAAAUCUGGCGUCUUUGGCGUCCGAKUUGUAAUUUGAAGAAGGUAUCUUUGGGCCCGGCUCUUGUCUAUGUUCCUUGGAACARGACGUCMCAGAGGGUGAGAAUCCCGUGCGAUGARAUGACCCGGGUCUGUGUAAAGUUCCUUCGACGAGUCKAGUUGUUUGGGAAUGCASCUCUAAGUGGGUGGUAAAUUCCAUCUAAAGCUAAAUAUUGGCGAGAGACCGAUAGCGAACAAGUACAGUGAUGGAAAGAUGAAAAGAACUUUGAAAAGAGAGUGAAAAAGUMCSUGAAAUUGUUGAAAGGGAAGGGCUUGAGAUCAGACUUGGUAUUUUGCAUGCUGCUCUCUCGGGGGCGGCCGCUGCGGUUUACCGGGCCARCAUCGGUUUGGAGCGGYAGGAUAAUGGCGGAGGAAUGUGGCMCGGCUUCUGCUGUGUGUUAUARCCUCUGACGAUACUGCCAGCCUAGACCGAGGACUGCGGUUUUUACCUAGGAUGUUGGCAUAAUGAUCUUAAGUCGCCCGUCUUGAAACACRGACCA